UGUGUGUUGGUAUAAGAAGACGGCGUACUCCUCAGAACAGUCUUUCCUCGGUGGCCUGUGCUUCGUGUAUGUGGUCUGCCUCACAAGGACCGGUUGAAUUUGUGCCGAGUGCUGGUGGGAGUUCAGAGGAAUUGGUGGCAGACGAGAUGCAGUUUCUGCAACACUGCAGGAUGCGUUUGUGUGGCGGGCUGGUUGUUGGAUUUAGAAGACUUGGUGACAAUGGAGAUUAGAUUUCUGCAGCCCCGGUAUGGCACAUUGCUGUUCAAGUUCAAAGCAGUGGUGCCAAAUGCAGAGCCACCUCCUUGCAGGACAGAAUGAACUUGCAUGAAGCACUGGAAGUUCAGAAGAUUAAACAUCAGCACAAGGACCGGUUGAAUUUGUGCCGAGUGCUGGUGGGAGUUCAGAGGAAUUGGUGGCAGACGAGAUGCAGUUUCUGCAACACUGCAGGAUGCGUUUGUGUGGCGUGCUGGUUGUUGGAUUUAGAAGACUUGGUGACAAUGAAGAUUAGAUUUCUGCAGUUCUGGUUCGAGUGGUGACAAAUGCAUAAAACCUCACAGGUGCUGUUGGUGUGUGCUCUGCACGAGAUGUUUGUGUGGCGCUCUGGUUGUCGGGUUUAGAAGACUUGGUGUCAAUGAAGAUUAGAUUUCUGCAGCACAGAUGUUUGCAGAAUUUUGCAAUCAAAGUAACGGGUGUUCUACAUGUCCGAAGACUGUUUUGGGAAUUGAUGGAUCAUGCAGCUCCCCCCAAGUAUAGUGUUUGGCUAUUGUAUUGGUGUGCAGUAUUUCUGAAGCUAUGUUAUUUGCUUUUUCACUUCAACUUUCUAAUAAAUAAAUAAAUAAAUA